UAUUUUCGUUUUUUUUUUCUCACGGUUUAUUUGGCGAUUCCCUUUCGAGUCGCGACGGGCUAUAUCACGGGGCCCGGGGUGUCGGCCUCGAAACGAGCUUUCCGAAAAGUACUUACGGGCCCCGUGAGUCCAUCGGGAUUGAAAGUUAUGCACGUGAACGCAAAGACGCGCGAAUUCCGUAUGUGGAGCAAUUCCAAUUUUCGGGAAAUUGCGUUAACCGAGUCGCUUAAAAAGCCGGAAGUUGAACACUCUAGACUUUUCUCGAGAAGAGAAAUUGAUUCCCU
rnacentral:misc_RNA from 1 species